rnacentral:rRNA from 1 species
GUGCCAGCCGCCGCGGUAAUACGAAGGGGGCUAGCGUUGCUCGGAAUCACUGGGCGUAAAGCGCACGUAGGCGGCUUUUUAAGUCAGGGGUGAAAUCCUGGAGCUCAACUCCAGAACUGCCUUUGAUACUGAGAAGCUUGAGUCCGGGAGAGGUGAGUGGAACUGCGAGUGUAGAGGUGAAAUUCGUAGAUAUUCGCAAGAACACCAGUGGCGAAGGCGGCUCACUGGCCCGGUACUGACGCUGAGGUGCGAAAGCGUGGGGAGCAAACAGGAUUAGAUACCCCCGUAGUCC